GCCAGACUCCUACGGGAGGCAGCAGUGGGGAAUAUUGCACAAUGGGGGAAACCCUGAUGCAGCAACGCCGCGUGAGUGAAGAAGUAUUUCGGUAUGUAAAGCUCUAUCAGCAGGGAAGAAGAUGACGGUACCUGAUUAAGAAGCCCCGGCUAACUACGUGCCAGCAGCCGCGGUAAUACGUAGGGGGCAAGCGUUAUCCGGAUUUACUGGGUGUAAAGGGAGCGCAGACGGCAGUGCAAGUCUGGAGUGAAAGCCCGGGGCCCAACCCCGGAACCGCUCUGGAAACUGUACGGCUGGAGUGCAGGAGAGGUAAGUGGAAUUCCUAGUGUAGCGGUGAAAUGCGUAGAUAUUAGGAGGAACACCAGUGGCGAAGGCGGCUUACUGGACUGUAACUGACGUUGAGGCUCGAAAGCGUGGGGAGCAAACAGGAUUAGAUACCCCAGUA
rnacentral:rRNA from 1 species